rnacentral:lncRNA from 1 species
CAACAGUCACAGCGGAAUAUAAACCAGAGUAAAUUCAAAUAUACAUGUUAUGAAUAAAUAAAUUACAUCAACAUAGAUGCAUCUCAAAAAUCCCAACAAACGGGUAAUCUCCAACAAAACAAAAACCAAAGUAAAAGAUAAUCUAGACCGACACAACUAAGCCUAGAUCAGAGCCGACUAAACAUCUAAACACCGAUAUCGGAGAAAGCUCCAGAUAUCCACCAAGCACAAGAACUCACCAAGCAACUAAACCUGCACAACGUCUACCCAUCCAUACAGAUAGGCAGGCGGUCCAUAACAGAUCCACUGGGGGUAAGUAUUACAUUAUCAUAAUCCAAAUAACAGUUAACAUGAAUAUUUCAAUUUAAACAUCAUGCACUUGAUCAAUAAUAAUUACACAUUAAUACUUACAUCACACCCCGAUAUCUCACAUCAAUAUUCGUCAAUCAUAUGAACAAUUAUCAAUUUACAAUUAUUCAUUCACAAUCACCAAUCACGUUUAUCAUGAAUAAUCAUUAAUCACAUUUCAUGAACAAUCACCAAUUACAUGUAUCAUGAACAAAUAUCAAUUCACAGUUAUUCAUACACAAUCACCAAUCAUAUACAUCAUGAACAAUCACCGAUCAUAUACAUCAUGAACAAUCACCAAUCAUAUACAUCAUGAACAAUCACCGAUCAUAUACAUCAUGAACAAUCACCAAUCAAAAGUCAUGAACAAUCAUUAUCAUAAUUCAUGAACAAUUAUCAAUUCACAAAUAUUCAUUCACAAUCGUCAAUCACAAACAUCAUCAAUAAUCAUUCAUCUCAAUUCAUCACCAAUCACAUAUUUCACAUAAGACUCAUGCUAUGAUAUGCACUUAUGGACACAUAAAUGCAUGUGGUACCAAAUCUCAACAAGGUCGUCACCUCCGAUGGACAAGUCAACAUCGCAUGUAAGGCUCACC